UUCUCUCUCUCUCUCUCUCCCUUCAUCCCAUCACUAUCGUUCCUUGCCUAUGCUCUCAUCGUCGGUUUCUUCUCUACCUCGACACCCCCGCACUCGCCGCUUCCUCUCGUCGCAGCUCGAUCGGCUGCCCCUCCACUCUCACUCUACCCAAGUCCCGGUCUCGGCCUCGGCCCCGCCGACUUCCCCCUACGGUGAAACUUUGUAAAGCGACUUAGUCAAAGUUUAAUAAAUUCCUUCGAGGAAGUUUCAAAGCGGUUCUACGCGGGAUUGCAAAUGAUUACGUUUCGUCGUGCUAGAGAAUAUGCGAAGAUGGGAGGAAUCGGUAUGUAAGGCCGACAGAAGGAGGGACGAACAAGGACAAGGAGAGAGGCUCACUCACAUAACAAACACAAUUGACUCGGUGAUAGUGACCAGAAAAUGGCCGCCACGACGCAAACAAAUGAGCAAGUCCAACCAUUCCCAUGGCAACAAUCUCAAUCAGAUAGGAGCUAGCGGAGCAGAGAACAGAGAACACGCCGGAUAAUAUAUUCGAUACAGUCUCGCCCCCCGCUCUGUUUCAUCUCAUUCGCAGGAUGCCCGUGAGAUGAUCAUGACGAUCAUGACUAUUAUACGACAAAUCAAAAACGCUUAAAUAAUUCACUUGCAUAAUCCAUUUUUAUUUUAUUUUGAUCCGAUCAAAGGCUGUUUAUAUAUCUUUGCCAUCGAUGACUUGCAUGUUAGCAGCAAAUCGAAAAAAGAGAGCGAACAGUGCGAGAAACCGGUUACCAUUGUUACAGCGUCGUCGCUACCACGAGAAAGAGAGUCAUCGACUACGAAUACUCGAGAUACCUUUAUUGUCAUAAGCUAAAUCCUAUUUUGCGUGUGUACAUGUAUGUGUGUCAUAUACGUAACAAUACUAUAGAAUGCUAUAGAAUUAUCAUUUCAAAAACAACCUCUUAUUCUUUCGGCUGGGUAAACUAUGAAGAAAAAGAUAAGAGGGGAAGAAAAAGAUCAAAUUAAACAUGUUAUCAAAGUUGCUUUACUUUUAUAUAUUACUCUGAAGACAAAAUAUUUGUCUAUUUUUUAUGAUCAAAUGAAAUAGUUAAAAAGCAUAAAGCAAAGUCAACGUUCGAGCAAUCUACCCAACACUGGAUAAAAUACAGGCGCUUGAUUAAAUAUAAAAUUAGUGUAGCACUUAGUUUACAUUUAUCUUCUGUUAUCGUCGAGAUUAUUAAUUAUUUCUAUUAAUUGUUUAAUUAUUUCUUCAUGAAUAAUAUUCUUUUUUAUUGAAUAUUGUUGUAAAUUUAAUUCUGCAAUUUACAAUGAUAAUUAAGUUAGUGUAAUAUUAUGCAAUACUACACAAAACACAAAAUCUCACAAAUUGUUUUUGAAUAAUUAAAGAUGUAUAACAGUAAAGAUCGUGAUUUUCAGAUUAAAUGCUGGAUUUGAAUACGCGAAGUCAAGGUACUUAUAUUCAAUCGAAAACCUAUCUACUAGAUAUAAUUAAAUCUAUCUGCGAAAUGUCUCUACACACACAUAUACACAGGUCAUUUUAAUACAAAAUAUUUUUGGACGGACUAAUUGCUUGUUAUUAAUACACGUGGUUCUAUGUUAGCACUAUUUCAUAUGAAAAAUAAUCUUAAACGCAAUAACUAUAACGAGCGAUAACUUAUACGAUAACUUUCGCUUUAAAGACGACGAAGGAAAUGUUGUGAUAUUCAUAUUAUGCCUUAAAUUCUCUCGUAAUUAAAGUGAUCUGAUUUAUAAGUUUUCGUUAAUUAAAUUUAAUAGGUAUAUUGCACGAAAGUACCCAAAUCGAUGACACGAAGCUGUCACUUUUUUAUCUUCGUCUCUUUUUUUAUAUCAAACUUUUUAAUAUAAAUGUAAGAAUUAUCUUAUAUAUUCUUGUUCGAUGAGCACUUUACAUUAUUAUGUAUGUUAUAUCAGUUCCGUAUCAUGUUCUUUUAUUUCUUUCUUAAUCUUUUAUUAAUGCCUAUAUCUUAAUUUAAAAAAAAAAAAACUCAACAAUUAUAUAUGUAUGAGGAGAAUGUAAAAAUACACACGAAUAAAUUUCAGGCGGCGAAAAAUGUCAUUCAAUACUUUCGCAACGUCAUGCAAAAUAGUAUUUUGCGUUUUCAAGUCGUAAGUUCUUUGAAACGAGAAAAGAUAAAAAAGACAAAUAUUCGAUAUCACGCGUCCGAUAAUACUGGGAUAUGAACGACAGUUCGCUAUAUAAGUUACAAGAGAGACGGGUUAGCUCGAAUUCCAUUAUGCUGUUUUAUGCCCGUCAUUCUUGUUUUUAUUGCACGCCUCUCAUCGCUUUUCUCUCUGUUUUACGGCCUUGCCUAUGAACGUAUUCCUCGGUAGAUCGCGAGCUAUUAGUUUUGUCCUUUCAUUAUUUUUAUGCUCUUGCACUCGGGACAGGAAUAGAAAGAGAAACAAAGACAGAGUAAAAAGAAAUCAGGAAAUUAAAAUGACGUUAUGAUUGAUAAUACGCAGGGUAAGAAUAAAUUUGUAGUGGGGUAAGAAUGUAAUAUUGUAUACUUAUAUAUUUGCUUUGUUGACGCAUCUUGUUUUUCAGAUAUAUAAGUUAUAGUUCAAUUGAAAAUAUGAUAACAAAUGUGAAAUGCAAUGCACAGAUAAAGUGCAUCAUAUCGAUAAGGGUGCGUAUAAUUGGUGUCUGAAAAAAACGUUGCUUAUAUACAACGUGUCUCAAAUAAAAUAAAUACAUUGCAAUAACUCAAUAACUUAUAAACAGUUAAUAUUAAAAAGAAAAUAUCCAAAAUAAAAUUGUAGAAGGUAGA